UACGGAGGAUCCGAGCGUUAUCCGGAUUUAUUGGGUUUAAAGGGUGCGCAGGCGGAAGAUUAAGUCGGUGGUGAAAUUUUGCAGCUCAACUGUAAAAGUGCCAUUGAUACUGGUUUUCUUGAGUGUGGAUGAAGUAGGCGGAAUUUGUGGUGUAGCGGUGAAAUGCAUAGAUAUCACGAGGAACUCCGAUUGCGCAGGCAGCUUACUAAACCAUAACUGACGCUCAGGCACGAAGGCGUGGGGAUCAAACAGGAUUAGAUACCCUGGUA
rnacentral:rRNA from 1 species